rnacentral:rRNA from 1 species
AGAGAGAGACAUGCGUGCAUAUCAAUAAGCGGAGGAAAAGAAACUAACUAAGGAUUCCCUCAGUAACGGCGAGUGAAGCGGGAAGAGCUCAAAUUUGAAAUCUUCAAGGGUUCUACCUUUACGAAUUGUAGUUUAAAGAAGUGUUUUCUGUUGAGGUUUUGGUAAAAGUUCUUUGGAAUAGGACAUCAUAGAGGGUGAGAAUCCCGUAUUUGACCAUUAUUUCCAGCUUUGUGAUACACUUUCAAAGAGUCGGAUUGUUUGGGAAUGCAGUCCAAAAUGGGUGGUAAAUUUCAUCUAAAGCUAAAUAUUGGCGAGAGACCGAUAGCGAACAAGUACCGUGAGGGAAAGAUGAAAAGAACUUUGAAAAGAGAGUUAAACAGUACGUGAAAUUGUCAAAAGGGAAGCGUUUGACACCAGUGUUGUUUUCUCGAAAAUCAAUAAAAAAGGCAGGAUUUUGUGUUGUAUUGACUUUAUCAGCUUUCUGCACUCUUUUCUUGUCUUUUUUAAUGCACUUUUCGUUUAACAAGUCAACAUCAAUUUCUUUUGUUGUAAGAGGGUCAUUGGAAGGUGGCUUUCUUUUCGGAGAAAGUGUUUAUAGCCUUUGGCCUCUGCAAUCGGAGAGAUUGAGGUCUGCAGCGUAGAUCCUUCGGGGUUAGAUACAUUUGUGCUAAGUUAUAGCCUUUCAUAGACAACUUGUUGACUAUGAUCAGUCAUGUAGCUUACUCGCUUAUGCUAUUUUACCUACGCUUAGGAUGUUGAUGUGAUACUGCGAGCA